rnacentral:lncRNA from 1 species
GAUCAUCAUGUUCAAACGAAUCAUCAUGUAUUAAAAGUUUCUUUUCUUUUCUUUUUUUUUUGUUUUUUUUUUUUGAAAAUUUAAGAUUGUUACAGGUGGCAACGGGUCAGGUGGCCCGGCUGGACCCGGACCCAUACCCAAAUAGCAUUCAGGUUUAUGUUUUGGACCUGGAUCGGACCGUCAGAUCCAAAAGUUGGACCCAUACCCAUAUUCAUUGGGUCUCAGGUCUAUCCCGUUGGGUUCUAGGUCUGGUUGGUCUAUUACCACCCUCAAAUAUGAGCUUUUUCUUUUUACCAUCAUAUACUCAUAAUAUUAUUAACAAGGUGAGUUUUUAUUUCAUACGAUCCGUAAUAUAUGUAAACAAAUAGGACUUCAAGUAUGUUAUCUCCAACAUUUUACUGGUGUGAGUCGGGUCCAACCAGAUCUGAACCCAACACACACAUAGUAUUCGGGUCCAAGUUUUAGACCUGGACCCACCCCACUGGGUCCAAAUGUUGGAUCCAUACCCGGACCCAUGUCGGGUAUUACCCGGUGGGUCCUAAGCUGGGUCCGGAUCUAUUGCCACCUCUACAAAUGAUAGAGAAAUCUAAGGUAGUAGAGUAGGUUAGUAAUAAAAGUUAUAAAACACAUAAAUUAAAGGGGAAAGGUUUCUAUGCUUCCCCUACAACAUAGAAGUUCUAUCCGCCUUUUACCAUCCAGCCGUCCAAUUUUGAUUAAGAGAGCUACUUACUGUUUGAUCUUAGAUCCGACGUCUCAAAAUAUUUUUUUUUUAGUUUUUUUUAUACAAAUUUUAUGAAUAUGAAAUUUGGUAUGUACUAUCUUCUCAUUGGGACGCACCUAUAAAAAAUAUUAAAAAUAAUGUUUCGAUAAAAUAUAACGGUCAAAAUAC